rnacentral:rRNA from 1 species
GACGAACGCUGGCGGCGUGCUUAACACAUGCAAGUCGAACGGUGAAGCGCCUUCCUUUUUGGUGGGUGUGGAUGAGUGGCGAACGGGUGAGUAACACGUGAGUAACCUGCCCCCUUCUUCUGGAUAACCGCAUGAAAGUGUGGCUAAUACGGGAUAUUCUGGGUCUGUCGCAUGAUGGGUCUGGGAAAGAUAUUGUUUCGGUGGGGGAUGGGCUCGCGGCCUAUCAGCUUGUUGGUGGGGUGAUGGCCUACCAAGGCGGUGACGGGUAGCCGGCCUGAGAGGGUGGACGGUCACACUGGACUGAGACACGGCCCAGACUCCUACGGGAGGCAGCAGUGGGGAAUAUUGCACAAUGGGCGCAAGCCUGAUGCAGCGACGCCGCGUGAGGGAUGGAGGCCUUCGGGUUGUGAACCUCUUUCGCCAGUGAAGCAGGCCUGCCUCGUUUGUGGGUGGGUUGACGGUAGCUGGAUAAGAAGCGCCGGCUAACUACGUG